AUUGAACGCUGGCGGCAUGCUUUACACAUGCAAGUCGAACGGCAGCACGGGGGCAACCCUGGUGGCGAGUGGCGAACGGGUGAGUAAUGCAUCGGAACGUACCCGGGAGUGGGGGAUAACGUAGCGAAGGUUACGCUAAUACCGCAUAUUCUGUGAGCAGGAAAGUGGGGGACCGUAAGGCCUCACGCUUCUGGAGCGGCCGAUGUCGGAUUAGCUAGUUGGUGGGGUAAAGGCUUACCAAGGCGACGAUCCGUAGCGGGUCUGAGAGGAUGAUCCGCUACAAUGGGACUGAGACACGGCCCAGACUCCUAGUGGAGGCAGCAGUGGGGAAUUUUGGACAGUGGGCGCAAGCCUGAUCCAGCCAUGCCGCGUGAGUGAAGAAGGCCUUCGGGUUGUAAAGCUCUUUUGUUGGGGAAGAAAUGCUCUGGGUUAAUACCCUGGGGUGAUGACGGUACCCAAAGAAUAAGCACCGGCUAACUACGUGCCAGCCGCCGCUGUAA
rnacentral:rRNA from 1 species